AAGUAUUUUCUUGCUCAGGGGACCAUAAUAGGUAUUUACACAAAAAUUAUCAGCCAAAUCCGAGCUAGUCCACUGAAAUAAAUCCGAGCUAGGCCGUAAUGAUGCAAUUUUACCAAAAAUAAUUUACAAAAUUCACUCCCCAAUCACUACAGAAGAGAAUAAGAACCAGUUCAAAAUAAUAAAUUAAAGAAGGAAGGUUGAAGUUUAUUAAUUAUUUGGAACAUUUGUUAUAAUUUAUAAUUAAUUCUCCAGUAUAAUUAUUCGACUUGAGUAAACAAGAGGAGAGAAAAACAGAACGAGAGUGGGCAUGGAUGAGUGUUCAAAAGUUGUUUUCCCACGUCCAAAAAGCAUCCUCGCGAAAGAAACAGUCUAUUCCAAGAUAUAUUUUGUCGUAUGUUUCUUUUCCAGAUUUCGCAUCAAAUUCCGCCCACAGACUGCACCUACUUUCAAGCUGAUUCUCUUCAAUCUGUUCUUAAAUUUUCGUAAGGUGUAAAUUGAGGAUCAGACGAUUAUUUAUGAGCCAAUUGUACUUUCCAACUUGGUUAAUCUUAACUUUAAAAAUAUUGGUGCAUGUUUCAUUACGAAAUUUGUGAUGGUUUUCAACUUCCCAAACAUAGAAAGGGUAAAUAUUCAUGGGCCUGAGGAGAAAGAAGCGUAUCAUCGCAUUCUCAUCACAACGUUUAGACAACAGUCAAAGAACUUUGUGAGUGUGACCACCCUGUGCACGUACAAAUGUAGGUGAUAAGAUAUGAAAAACAUCAAUACAUCCUGCCUUUGUUGAGUUUCAUUCAAGUUGUUUGUGUUUCCGGAGUCAAUACACAGCGUAUUUUUAUCGUUUAAAAUUGUUUGUAUUUCUGCAAUCAGUACACAGUUUUUUUGUUUAUCGUUUCAAAUGGUUUGUGCUUCCAUGGUUACUUACCAAUAUUUAGUUAAGACGAGGAAGUAAAUAGCUGCAAUGACUGGGACGUUGAUUUGUAUGCAGAUUUUGCCCCUUUUUAGCCAUUCAAUAAAAAAAGAUUGAAUAAAAUAUCCAUACAUAUCACACUGUGACGUAAAGUCGUGUUUAUUGAGUUCAUCAUGUCGCUAUCGCUUAUCAAUACUUGUGGGGCAUAACCACUGUCCAUUUGUAAUAUGUCUGGUUUGUGUUACCUUGUUAAAUUGGUAGCAACAUCUUAGCGAGCGAUUGAGCUGGAAAGAGUGUAAUGUAGUACGUAUAUUUUAUAGUGAUUCUUAUUCUUACCCGAGACAAUAUUGUAAGCCCAAGGGGCGGAUUCAAUAUUCGUUUUCCUCCCAUCAGACUGGAUAAUAUUAAACAACAACAGACUAUAUAGUCUGUUGCAAAAUUAUUAUAUAAUAAUUUUUUUAAGUUGACUCGGGCUUAAGAUGACUUUACUGGAAAACAUUUCUGGCGCGGUGGACAUUUUAGCUAAAAGUAUACCCGUUAUAACUAAUUUAAAUCAACUUUUUCAAGCGAUGGAACUCCCACCAGAUAAAAUUGUAGAUAUUACUCGGAAUCAUUAUAAUUCCAUAAAGGAAAGAUUAACCGUAGCUUUGCAGGCUUGGAAAGAAUUAGUAGGAAGUCGUGCAACGGUGGAACACCUGGUACGUAUUUUGCUGGCCUUACAGCACAAGGAUUCUGCAGGUGGGAUAGGGGCAAACUAAUAAUGAAGAGGCGUAAGGCGAAAUGAUACAGAAUUCGGCCGAAGCAUUAGGCCCCACCUCGAUUCCGGAUUCAACGAGCAUUAUAGCCUAAAAUUUGGAAUGUCAUGCCGAUCGCACAUCUUUACGUUGUUUACGUUUGGGAUCAGCUUACAAGGCUCCUGGUUAUUGAGAAAAAGCCGUGCCGGGAGGGUUAAUGUUUGGAAUGACUCGGCGACCUGACUACGAUUUCCACCACCACAGAUUUGGAAGAGUCUGCUGCACUACUUCGGGGGACCCUUACAAACAAUAAUGCUUCACCACCUCAAGAUGUUCUGCUCCCUACACAGGAACAAUCGACAAAUCCCGAAGAGGGCCAAACAUCACAAAUUUUCCGGAAAGUAACAACUGGAAUAAGCUUACUAGUAAUUAUUAUCAUGACCGUGUUAUUUGCAUGUUAUCACAUCAUUCCAAUCAGAGUUCUGGAUAAAUAUUCGUCAGAUAGACCAGAAAUAGUCACACGUACAGAAAACUAUCCAACUACUCCGUCACUUUCUAGACAGCAUAAAAACGAAUGUGUAGCUUUAAGAAAGAAAGGCAAAAUGAGAUGUCCGAUAAAUCAUGAAAUCCCUCACCAGAAUUUAAGAAUUGUCACGUUAAAUGAUAAUAAUCACCACGAUUUCUGUGACGCGGAACAUAAGGGAUGCUUCCUUGGUGGUAACCCUGACAACGAUGACUUCUCAUCUGACCAAGAAUUUUGUCCCCAUAAUCUCGUAGCCCUUGAAAUUUUAAGUGCCAUAAGGAGAAAAAGGUUGACCAAUUUUUUGGACAGGUAUUGCUUGCUGGGGUCACUUUUAUUUGGGAAGAAUGCAUCAGUAGAAGCUACACCAGGAACAAGUUAUCUCUCAGAUAAGCUGAAUUAUCCAUCAUUGCAAUCGCUAUCAUUUGAGGGAACAGUAAAUGUUAGCGUAAUUCUAGCUAAUCUUUCGGAUCAUGUCAGUUUUCCUUGUUUGGUUGAGAUCAAUCUAAGUUGUGUAAUACUGAUGGCGGAGGACAUUACAAGUCUUCGUAACUUGGUCGCAUCCAGUGGAAGUUUGAGAAGGAUUAAUUGUCAGGAUAACAACUUUUGUGAAAAUUUACUCGAUGUCAAUAACGGACAUGAAUUAAAUAGGAAUUUUACCAGAACAAUUUGUUGAGUGCAAACAACUUGUUCUGGAUAGAUAAAUUUAUUAUGUAUCUUUUAUCAUGUAUUAUAUAUGUUUGAUCAUAUAUGUAUUAUGUAUAUAGUGUAUUAUGUAUGUGUUUCUGUGCAUACAUUUUUAAUUAGUUCUGAGUACGCAGUCUGACCACUCAAUAAAAAUAUUGACAUAUUUA